UGAGAAGGCCGGACGGCCGCGGCGGGUUCGCCUGCUGAGGAAAGUCCGGACUCCACAGGGCAGCGGAGUGGGUAACGCCCACCCCCUGAACGGUUCGUCGAGAGGCGGGUCGGGAGGGGAGGAUCAGAGCCACAGAGACGAGGAUCCCCGUCGUUGGGGGUUCGCGGAAGCGAACCGGGCGGGGGGAGGUGAAACGGGCAAUCUCUCCGCGGAGCAAGACCAUGUAGACCCCGAACGGGACGGCCCGUCCCAUUCCGUUGGGCAACCGGCGGGAGCGGGGAGGGUAGGUCGCAAUGAGUCCGCGCGGCAACGCCCGGGCCCAGAGGAAUGGUCGUCGCCCGCCGGCCUGUCGCGCAAGCGGCGGGGCAGGGCGGGCACAGAAUCCGGCUUACAGGCCUUCUCCAAUC
rnacentral:RNase_P_RNA from 1 species